rnacentral:lncRNA from 1 species
GAGCUCUGAGCAGUGGAGAGAUGGAAGAGGCUUCAUGGGAGACUCAUCCAGCCAGGAAAGAGAACUUUAGAAGGUUGAGCCUGAAAGCAGGGAGCUCACUGCGGAGGGGGCACGUGGCUUGAACUGGCUUGAAGGAUGGCACCUGCUACACUGCAAUGUGGCCGCGGCCCUGCUUCUGGUGUGUAGGUAAAGGUAAGGCUGGUGGAAUAUAUGAUUCCAUCAUUUCGGACCAAAGUUACUGAAACCUGUAUUGGUUGCUGGACCUAUCUCCAACCUUCUCAGAAUGCAGAAACGUCUGGGACAACACGAGCAUACUCUCUCCACACCUGUACAUAGCUUCAGCUUCUACAUCCCCAAACCACACUUGUAAAUUUGGAGUGAAAUUCUGUCCUGUAAGUUCAAGCAUUGGUUCGUCCCCACCGCCAUUCAACUUAAGGCUCUCUACGACAGGCGGAGGCAUGACCAGGGCAAGGACAGGGCCCACUCUCUCGUAAAAUGUAUGCUUCGCCUUAUGUGUGCUAAUGAUUGCCCAGGAAGCACCAUCAUUUAUCUUCUCUUUAUUUGGUUCUUUUGGGCAUGGAGUGGCCUGAAAUUGAAUUAUUCUUUCUUGAGAAAGGCAUAAGUACUUUCUUUCUGUAUCCUCAAGGUCAAAUGCACAUUUAUGGAGUUGUGACACAGGAUCAUCUGCAUCCAAUAAUGUGGUCUGCUUAUCAACUUUCCUAAUUAUCAAUCUUGGGAGUGCCAUGCCAGUAACUGAGCACACAAGUUUGACUGUUUGUCCAUAAUGAAUGUAGCCAUCUCAGACUGUGAAUUCUUCUCCUUCUGAUCCAUCAUCAUCCAAGAAUAAUGUAAAAUGCUCCCCAUUGCUGUGAACUAGCAUGAAAAUUACCUCUUUCUACGUGCAAGUAUCUGGUACUAACUGUCUGGGAUAGUAGUCGAUUAAACAGAGCCACCUUUUUUCCUGAGGCAAUGCAUAAGUCAGCAUUUUUCAAUGACUGCUUCUUUUUGGAAGGUUUGGAUGACUUGCUGAGGAACACACCAAUGUCAUCACUGUUGCCAUAGAACACCUUUACAGACAACAUGAAGUGCUUUUGCUUGUCUAAAUCAGAUAUGUACAAUGUUUUGGCUGUGCAAUAGUUCUUUCCUUCCAAGUUUAGCUGCUGCAUUUCUUGGUCACUAUUUCCUAUGCCAAUAAAUGCACAUGG